AGCCUGCCCAGUGACAAAGUUCAACGGCCGCGGUACCCUAACCGUGCGAAGGUAGCAUAAUCACUUGUUCUUUAAAUGAGGACUCGUAUCAACGGCACUACGAGGGCUAUACUGUCUCCUUUUUCUAAUCAGUGAAACUGAUCUCCCCGUGAAGAAGCGGGGAUCAAAAUAUAAGACGAGAAGACCCCAUGGAGCUUUAAACUCACUAUACACCUCUGUGCCUUUAUGCCACUAGACACAAGAGAUCUGCGUACUAGUUUUAGGUUGGGGGGACCACGGAGUAUAAUUUAACCUCCAUAACAAAUGGGCUAACACCCUUAUCUACGAGACACAACUCUAAGAAUUACUAAACUAAUGCUUACGACCCGAUAUUCGAUCAAUGAACCAAGUUACCCUGGGGAUAACAGCGCAAUCUACUUCAAGAGCCCAUAUCGACAAGUGGGUUUACGACCUCGAUGUUGGAUCAGGGUAUCCCGGUGGUGCAGCCGCUACCGACGGUUCGUUUGUUCAACGAUUAAAACCCUACGUGAUCU
rnacentral:rRNA from 1 species